AUUGAACGCUGGCGGCAUGCUUUACACAUGCAAGUCGAACGGUAACAGGCCGCAAGGUGCUGACGAGUGGCGAACGGGUGAGUAAUGCAUCGGAACGUGCCCAGUCGUGGGGGAUAACGCAGCGAAAGCUGUGCUAAUACCGCAUACGAUCUGUGGAUGAAAGCGGGGGACCGUAAGGCCUCGCGCGAUUGGAGCGGCCGAUGACAGAUUAGGUAGUUGGUGGGGUAAAGGCUCACCAAGCCGACGAUCUUUAGCUGGUCUGAGAGGACGACCAGCCACGCUGGGACUGGGACACGGCCCAGACUCCUACGGGAGGCAGCAGUGGGGAAUUUUGGACAAUGGGCGCAAGCCUGAUCCAGCAAUGCCGCGUGCAGGAAGAAGGCCUUCGGGUUGUAAACUGCUUUUGUACGGAGCGAAAAGGCUCCCUCUAAUACAGGGGGCUCAUGACGGUACCGUAAGAAUAAGCACCGGCUAACUACGUGCCAGCCGCCGCCGUAAUAC
rnacentral:rRNA from 1 species